GCAGUCGAGGGGUAUUGCAGCAAUGCAAGAGACCGGCGCACGGGUGCGUAACGCGUAUGCAAUCUGCCUUUCACACAGGGAUAGCCCAGAGAAAUUUGGAUUAAUACCUUAUAGUAUAUAGAUGUGGCAUCACAAUUAUAUUAAAGAUUUAUCGGUGAAAGAUGAGCAUGCGUCCCAUUAGCUAGUUGGUAAGGUAACGGCUUACCAAGGCAACGAUGGGUAGGGGUCCUGAGAGGGAGAUCCCCCACACUGGUACUGAGACACGGACCAGACUCCUACGGGAGGCAGCAGUGAGGAAUAUUGGACAAUGGGGGCAACCCUGAUCCAGCCAUGCCGCGUGCAGGAUGACGGUCCUAUGGAUUGUAAACUGCUUUUAUACGGGAAGAAACCACCCCUUGUAAGGGGUAUUGACGGUACCGUAAGAAUAAGGAUCGGCUAACUCCGUGCCAGCAGCCGCGGUAAUACGGAGGAUCCAAGCGUUAUCCGGAAUCAUUGGGUUUAAAGGGUCCGUAGGCGGCCUCGUAAGUCAGUGGUGAAAUCUCCCGGCUCAACCGGGAAAUGGCCAUUGAUACUGUGGGGCUUGAAUUACCAGGAAGUAACUAGAAUAUGUAGUGUAGCGGUGAAAUGCUUAGAGAUUACAUGGAAUACCAAUUGCGAAGGCAGGUUACUACUGGUGGAUUGACGCUGAUGGACGAAAGCGUGGGUAGCGAACAGGAUUAGAU
rnacentral:rRNA from 1 species